GGCGGCGUGCUUAACACAUGCAAGUCGAACGAUGAAGCCCUUCGGGGUGGAUUAGUGGCGAACGGGUGAGUAACACGUGGGCAAUCUGCCCUUCACUCUGGGACAAGCCCUGGAAACGGGGUCUAAUACCGGAUAUGACCGUCUUGGGCAUCCUUGACGGUGUAAAGCUCCGGCGGUGAAGGAUGAGCCCGCGGCCUAUCAGCUUGUUGGGUAGGUAAUGGCUCACCAAGGCGACGACGGGUAGCCGGCCUGAGAGGGCGACCGGCCACACUGGGACUGAGACACGGCCCAGACUCCUACGGGAGGCAGCAGUGGGGAAUAUUGCACAAUGGGCGAAAGCCUGAUGCAGCGACGCCGCGUGAGGGAUGACGGCCUUCGGGUUGUAAACCUCUUUCAGCAGGGAAGAAGCGCAAGUGACGGUACCUGCAGAAGAAGCGCCGGCUAACUACGUGCCAGCAGCCGCGGUAAUACGUAGGGCGCAAGCGUUGUCCGGAAUUAUUGGGCGUAAAGAGCUCGUAGGCGGCUUGUCACGUCGGGUGUGAAAGCCCGGGGCUUAACCCCGGGUCUGCAUUCGAUACGGGCUAGCUAGAGUGUGGUAGGGGAGAUCGGAAUUCCUGGUGUAGCGGUGAAAUGCGCAGAUAUCAGGAGGAACACCGGUGGCGAAGGCGGAUCUCUGGGCCAUUACUGACGCUGAGGAGCGAAAGCGUGGGGAGCGAACAGGAUUAGAUACCCUGGUAGUCCACGCCGUAAACGGUGGGAACUAGGUGUUGGCGACAUUCCACGUCGUCGGUGCCGCAGCUAACGCAUUAAGUUCCCCGCCUGGGGAGUACGGCCGC
rnacentral:rRNA from 1 species